AUGAAAGAGGUUGAAGACAAUCUGCUGAGCUUGCAUGUGUGGGGGUGGGGCCCUGUGGCUUCCCCCUGCACCUCCAGGCCACUGAGGUCUGCAUCUGCCCUCUGGAGUUCAACCCUCACUUAGUGGCACAGUAUGAUACCCUAGGAGUGACCGGUGCUCCUGGAGGCAGCUGAUACAUACCUUGCACCUGACUGGGGUGCCUAAAGGGCCAGUUGAGGGAUAUGAGGAGGAUGAACAGUUUCUGAGGAAGAUGUACCAUGUGCUGCUGGAGGUGGAUGUGUUGGAGGGCACCCUGCAGUGCCCAGAGUCUAGACGUGUGUUCUGCCUCAGUCGCAGGGUUCCCAAUAUGCUGCUGAAUGAUGAGGAAACUGAGAGUUGA
rnacentral:lncRNA from 1 species